rnacentral:rRNA from 1 species
GUCAGGUAGUAAGGGCGCAGGGCGGAUGCCUUGGCUCUGGGAAGCGAUGAAGGACGUGGCUAGCUGCGAUAAGCCUCGGGGAAGAGCAAACAUCUUUUGAUCCGGGGAUUUCCGAAUGGGGGAACCCGCAUGGCUGUUGAGGCCAUGCACUGUUGAGUGAAUACAUAGCUCAUCAGGGCGAACUCGGGGAACUGAAACAUCUCAGUACCCGAAGGAAUAGAAAUCAACCGAGAUUCUGCUAGUAGCGGCGAGCGAACGCGGAAGAGCCCAAACCAUCAGGUGCGCCUGAUGGGGUUGUAGGGCCGUCAAUAAAGGAUAAUUGGAGAAUUAGCUGAAGUGUCUGGGAAGGCACGGCACAGAGGGUUAGACCCCCGUAAGCGAAAGUUUGAAGAUGUCCGAGACGGUACCUGAGUAGGACGGGACACGAGAAAUCCCGUUUGAAUCUGGGGGGACCACCCUCCAAGGCUAAAUAUUACCCAGAGACCGAUAGUGAACCAGUACCGUGAGGGAAAGGUGAAAAGCACCUCGAAUAGAGGAGUGAAAUAGAUCCUGAAACCCUGUGUCUACAAGCAGUGGAAGCACUACUGAUCUUCGGAUCAUGUGCGACCGCGUGCCUUUUGCAUAAUGAGCCAACGAGUUGUCUGUCGGUGGCAGGUUAAGUUUUUAACGAAGCCACAGCGAAAGCGAGUCCGAAAUGGGCGUUAGUCAUCGGCAACAGACCCGAAACCGAGUGAUCUACCCCUGUCCAGGUUGAAGCCUGGGUAAGACCAGGUGGAAGACCGAACCGUUGAGCCUUAAAACGUUCUCGGAUGAGGUGGGGGUAGGAGUGAAAGGCUAAUCAAACUCGGAGAUAGCUGGUUCUCCCCGAAAUAUAUUGAGGUAUAGCCUCGUGAUAGACCGCCGGAGGUAGAGCACUGGAUGGACUAGGGCCCUCACCAGGGUACCAAACCCAACCAAACUGCGAAUACCGGCGAGUUGUUUCACGGGAGUCAGACAGCGGGAGCUAACUUUCGUUGUCGAGAGGGAAACAACCCAGACCAUCAGCUAAGGCCCCCAAGUCAUGACUAAGUGGGAAAGGAAGUGGGAGCGCCCAGACAACCAGGAGGUUGGCUUAGAAGCAGCCACCCUUUAAAGAAAGCGUAACAGCUCACUGGUCGAGCGAGCCUGCACCGAAAAUAUAACGGGGCUCAAGUCAUGCGCCGAAGCUAUGGGAUUUAUAUUUAUAUAAAUCGGUAGGGGAGCGUUCCCUGUGCGGCGAAGCUGAAUCGAGAGGGUCAGUGGAGCGCAGGGAAGUGAGGAUGUUGGCAUAAGUAACGAAAAUGCGAGCGAGAAACUCGCACGCCGAAAGCCCAAGGUUUCCCGGGCCAUGUUAUUCAGCCCGGGGUUAGUCGGCACCUAAGACGAGGCCGAAAGGCGUAGUCGAUGGAAAACCGGUUCAUAUUCCGGUACUUGCAUGUGCGCGUGAUGGAGGGACGCAGGAGGAUAGCCCGGCCAAGUGAUGGAUAUCUUGGUUCAAGGCCGUAGGCGGAAGUCUCAGGUAAAUCCGGGACUUCUAUAACGCCGAGAGUCGAUGACGAGAGGCUUUGCUUCGCAAAGCGGUCGAUUCCACACUGCCAAGAAAAGCUUCUAAGCAUAGCACAGGCAAACCGUACCCCAAACCGACACAGGUGGGCGGGUAGAGAAUACCAAGGCGCUUGAGGGAAAUCAUGUUAAGGAACUCUGCAAAAUAACUCCGUAACUUCGGAAGAAGGAGUGCCUGCGGUGGUGAAGGGACUUGCUCCCUGAGCUGCUGCGGGCCGCAGUGACCAGGCCCAGCCGACUGUUUAGCAAAAACACAGCACUCUGCUAAAUCGCAAGAUGAUGUAUAGGGUGUGACGCCUGCCCGGUGCCGGAAGGUUAAUGGGAGGGGUUAGUUCUUCGGAACGAAGCUCCGAACUGAAGCCCCGGUAAACGGCGGCCGUAACUAUAACGGUCCUAAGGUAGCGAAAUUCCUUGUCGGGUAAGUUCCGACCUGCACGAAUCGUGCAACGACCGGUCCGCUGUCUCGGAGAGAAUCUCGGCGAAGUUGUAAUUGCGGUGAAGAUGCCGCAUACCC